GCGUUGGUGGUUCAGUGGUAGAAUUCUCGCCUGCCACGCGGGAGACCGGGGUUCGAUUCCCCGCGAACGCA
rnacentral:tRNA from 1 species